rnacentral:lncRNA from 1 species
CAACGCCUCAUUUGAUGUCCUGAGCUCUGUCACAGUGUAGCAAAUGCCCAGAUGUUCUGAAAAUCUCUCUGGAAUAUUUGCAGUUGCUUCUGACUGUUGUUGUCUGGGCCUGUGCUACCCAGGUCUCCAGGAAGUGGCAGAAAACUGAGGCCAUGCUGUCCCAUACCUCUUCCUUUCUGCUUCUGGAACCUCCCUGCUCUGAAGCCUCUGUAUCACAGUAACAUGAAUUUCCCUGCACAGGAUGGAAGGACCAGCUCCAUUCACCGUGCAGGGCCAGCUUCGGUAUUUUAGCACUUAGCCUUGAGGAGAGCGCUUAUCACACCUGAGCCCCCGAACCACCUUCAUUGUACCUUAAGCGAGGUUGAAGGCACAGCUCCUGGUGAAGCAUCUGGGACCCACUCCAGAGCAACAACGAAUCCUGCCGACAGAGAAGUGCUAAUACCUGGACUUGGACUAGGUCUCUUGGCAGAAUCAAGCAACCUGGCAUCUGAGUGGCUGCGACACCCUACACGUACUUUACUUCUCAUUGCAAUGUCCAUAAAGUCUCAUGGCCAUUCCAGUGUACAGAUAAGUGUCUCAUUAGACAUGGACCUUCUGGAGGUUUGCAGAAAUCCACAUUUGUAUUGGCAACACCCGACACAGUAUUUUAUAUAGAAAUUAUUGGAUAAAUGACUGUUGCAUUGGAACUGAAUGUGGAUAAGUGUAUACAAAGAUAAGUGAUCGCAUUGAUAAAUGCAGAAUUGCAAUCCAAGCUAGAAGUAGUUCUUUGGACUAACAAGAAAAAGAAACAACAAGCAAAAGAAAAAGAAAGUCUGUGAAGAUGCUGCAAGGCAGACA